rnacentral:rRNA from 1 species
AUGCAAGGUCCUAAAACCAGCACCAAGACCUUCAAGCAGGCCUUCCUCAAGAAACUCAUCCUCGGCCUGCAGCUCCAGGGACGCAUGAGAACUUCCUUCGGCAGCGACGCCAUGAGCCUCCACGAGAGGAAGCUCGCCAUCAAGUCCUCCGCCAACGCCGCCAUGGUGGCCGCGCGUCGUGCCUCCCGCACCGACGCGAGGUGGCCCAAGGCCAUCUUGGCCUCGGCGGCCGUCUCACCAUCAUCCAGCGCGUGCAAGGUGCAGAGGUGCAGGCGGAUGGUGAGCAGAUGCUGCCGCCGGAAGAGGAGCUGGAUUAGAUCAGGUCGCGCUAGUGGUGGCGACGUUGCGAGGAGGAUAAUGGUGCUGAGGGAGGUGAUACCCGGAGGCCGGGACGCCACCGUCAACGAGGCCACCCUACUACGCGAGGCCAUGGACUACGCAGUGCACCUGCGCGCUCAGGUCGACAUGCUCCGCCUGCUAUCGGAAGCCGUGCAAAGAUCCAGCUCCUGCUCGGCUGCUCCCGGCGGUGUCAGCAGUGAUUAA